rnacentral:piRNA from 1 species
UUCUUGCCUCUGCUGUUCCUUGCC